rnacentral:rRNA from 1 species
UACCAGCACCUCGAGUGGUCGGGACGUUUAUUGGGCCUAAAGCAUCCGUAGCCGGUUCUACAAGUCUUCCGUUAAAUCCACCUGCUUAACAGAUGGGCUGCGGAAGAUACUAUAGAGCUAGGAGGCGGGAGAGGCAAGCGGUACUCGAUGGGUAGGGGUAAAAUCCGUUGAUCCAUUGAAGACCACCAGUGGCGAAGGCGGCUUGCCAGAACGCGCUCGACGGUGAGGGAUGAAAGCUGGGGGAGCAA